CUCACUUUACAUGCUCUCGCGGUAGGAUCUGACAUAUAAAAGACAAUUGUACAGUUCUCGACUCCUAGGGCCUUGAAAGGACCUCUAGUUAAAUAACAUUCAUAGAUUCAUGUCCAUGAAAGACCUCCGAUUAAACUGCCUCAAAACGGUCAUCAUCAUUAUCUAACCCAUGACUUCUGUCUUCAAGGCAUAAAAGAUGCAAACGAUCAAUGGAAAAUAAUAAUGUCGUCAUGCUGGAAAUUGACGGAUUUCAAGCAUCGAUCAAACGCAAGAUGCAGAUCAAGUCGUAAAAACAAAAUAGUUCGGCCUCGUCGGUCGCGAACAUAAUGUAUCCCGCCUCGUCGGUCAGGAAGUGUAUAUGAGUUCCGGCCUCGUCAGUCGCGGAAACAAGUGUGCUGAGCAUGGACUUGAAGAUGAACCCAUCGUUUGACUUGAUAAACAUGAUUUUGCAAAAUUCCAAACAUGGCGUCUUAUUUAUUCAGGUGUAGAUGGCCAUGUCUUUAUUAUUCGCAGGAUAAAAGUCCUCAUCCUUUGCAUGCUGCAUGAUCUACUUGAAAUUAUUAAUGACUCCUGAUGCUUUGCAUGGGAUGACUCGCGAUGUUGAUUUUGAGUAUGUAUGUAGCCGUGUCAUUGCUCUCUAAAGCCGGAUUUUGUCUACCACCUCGAAUGAAAUAUUGCAAAAAGCACUGCUGAAAACUUUGAUGAAUCCGCAGCGACGAUUAGAUCGUCGUGUAGAGCCGCAAAAAAGUCAUCUUAAAUCUUUUUUUUAUUUGUCGGAUUUAACAAUAAAAACAUCCGCGGUGACGAUUUGAUCGCCAUGUAGAACCACAAGAUGCCAACUCUUCUCUUUCUUUGUUUUGUUCGGACCACGGAACACCGGCGGCGACGAUUAGAUCACUAUGUAGAGCCACCAGGUGUUGGUAAACACUUUUUGUAGAUCGGCCCGUAAAACGUCCGCGGCGAUGAUUAGAUCGCCAUGUAGAGCCGCGAGACGACCCUCUUUUAGUUUGUAGCUCAAGCCAUGAAGCGCUGGCGGCGACGAUUAGAUCGCCAUGUAGAGCCG
rnacentral:lncRNA from 1 species